GCAGUUAAAAAGCUCGUAGUUGGAUUUUUAAGGGUGUCUGCGUCAAGUGGCCUUUAGUGCCUCUAAUGUCGAUAGACACCUCUUAUUUUGCCUCAGUGCUUGUUUGGGAUUCGGUUCCCGAUCAUGCUUCCGAGGCGUGUUUACUUUGAGAAAAUUAGAGUGUUCAAAACAGUUCGAUGAUUGUAUAUCAUAGCAUGGAAUAAUAACUGAUGACCUCGGUCAUUUUUUGUUGGUUCGGAUGGCUGGAGUAAUGAUUGAUAGAGU
rnacentral:rRNA from 1 species